GUAGGCACAGCUCAGUGGAUAGAGUGCAUGCUUAGCAUGCACUGAGGUCCUGGGUUCAAUCCCCAGUACCUCCA
rnacentral:tRNA from 1 species